rnacentral:rRNA from 1 species
UGUACACGCUGUGACUAGCAUAUCAAUAAGCGGAGGAAAAGAAACUAACAAGGAUUCCCCUAGUAACGGCGAGUGAAGCGGGAAGAGCUCAAAUUUGAAAUCUUAAAGGGUUUCCCUUUACGAAUUGUAGUUUAAAGAAGUGUUUUCUGUUGAGGUUUUGGUAAAAGUUCUUUGGAAUAGGACAUCAUAGAGGGUGAGAAUCCCGUAUUUGACCUUUACUUUCAACUUUGUGAUACACUUUCAAAGAGUCGGAUUGUUUGGGAAUGCAGUCCAAAAUGGGUGGUAAAUUUCAUCUAAAGCUAAAUAUUGGCGAGAGACCGAUAGCGAACAAGUACCGUGAGGGAAAGAUGAAAAGAACUUUGAAAAGAGAGUUAAACAGUACGUGAAAUUGUCAAAAGGGAAGCGUUUGACACCAGUGUUGUUUUUCUGAAAAUCAAUUAAAGAACUGUUUAUGCUAAGUUGUUUAGACUUUAUCAGCUAACUGUUUAGUUUUGAGCUUUUCUUUAAUGCACUUUUCAGUUAACAAGUCAACAUCAAUUUCUUUUGCUGUAAAAAAGCUUGAGGAAGGUGGCUUGAGAUUCGUCUUAAGUGUUUAUAGCCUCUUGCCUAUGCAGUCGGAGAGAUUGAGGUCUGCAGCGUAGAUCCUUCGGGGCUAAAUGCAUUUGUGCUAAGUUAUAGCAUUUUAUAGACAACUUGUUGACUAUGAUUUGUCUUGUAGCUUACUCGCUUAUGCUAUUUUACCUACGCUUAGGAUGUUGAGCGCAUGUCUCUCUCU